rnacentral:rRNA from 1 species
CAGCAGCCGCGGGAAUACGAAGGGGGCUAGCGUUGCUCGGAAUCACUGGGCGUAAAGGGUGCGUAGGCGGGUCUUUAAGUCAGGGGUGAAAUCCUGGAGCUCAACUCCAGAACUGCCUUUGAUACUGAAGAUCUUGAGUUCGGGAGAGGUGAGUGGAACUGCGAGUGUAGAGGUGAAAUUCGUAGAUAUUCGCAAGAACACCAGCGGCGAAGGCGGCUCACUGGCCCGAUACUGACGCUGAGGCACGAAAGCGUGGGGAGCAAACAGGAUUAGAUACCCGCGUAGUCCCUGUCUCUUAUAC